CAAGCCUUCAAAUCUGAAUUGGCUGAGAUAGCUGAGGCGCAUGACCGGGGGCUGCAACGCAAGUCGCUUCUGCACAUGGCGGCUGGCACGUCUGCAGUACCCUCUGCGACAGUGGAAGUGGCCUUCACCGGCCGCAGGAGCGAAGCUAGCAGCAGCGGUGCGCCGCGUAAGCAGAAGUCGAAGCAGCGGCCGCCCAAGAAAGGUCGCCUGACUCAGUGGAACGGCAGCGACAUCCGAG